CAGGUGGGAAAGCUCUCCAGCUCUCAUUCUCCAGGGACACCAGAGCAGCCAGAUAAGACGCUUCUCGGGCCAUCCGCAGAGACCAAGGCAGAAUUCUUGCCAUUGCAGAGCUUGUAGACAACUGGAGAAGGCAGGCAGUGAACACGUGUGUGAUACAUUUGCAGAGAUGACGGCUCCUGUGGAGUGAGCGGAACCGUGGUACAGAGGAGACGGGGAGAGGGCGCUGUUUUUUGUAAUGUGGUUAAUGCUUUUAUCCUGUGAGUAAGAGAGUCAGCUGAAGUUGGUUUAAAAUUAGUGUGAUUAGGGUAGCUUCUCAUUUAAGAAAAGUCACCCUGGCUGUUGUGAGGAGGCUGUUCCGGGAAGCAGGGAGGAAGGCGGAGAGCCAGUGCAGGGUGCAGGAGGGGCUGCCGUGCCCUGCCCUUCUGGGAUUUUGGUGAAUUUGUAGAUAAGUGGCCAGAAGCCGGAUGUCCUCGGAGGCUCCACGUCACAUGCUGCUGAAGGGUGGGCUGUGUGUCUGAGAGGAAGGAGGACUCAG
rnacentral:lncRNA from 1 species